GCGAGUUCGUCUCGGAGAUCGCGAGCAUGAGCCGGCUGCGCCACCGCAACCUGGUCCAGCUCCUCGGCUACUGCCGGCGACGGGGAGAGCUCAUACUCGUCUACGACUACAUGGUCAACGGCAGCCUCGACAAGCACCUAUUCGACGCUGAAAACAGGCCGGCGCUGAGCUGGGAGCGGCGCGCCAAGAUCAUCCGCGACGUUGCCGCCGGGUUGCUGUACCUGCACGAGGAGUGGGAGCAGGUGGUGGUGCACCGCGACAUCAAGGCCAGCAACGUCCUCCUCGACGCCGACAUGAACGGCAAGCUCAGCGACUUCGGCCUGGCGCGGCUCUACGACCACGGCAGCGAUUCGCAGACGACGCACGUCAUCGGGACGCUCGGGUACCUCGCGCCGGAGAUGAUCAAGACCGGCAAGGCCACCCCGAGCGCCGACGUGUUCGCGUUCGGCGCCUUCCUGCUCGAGGUGGCCUGCGGCCGGAGGCCCGUGGAGUCACUCAGCAACAACAAUGCGGACCCGGCGGGGCUCGUCGACAACGUCCUCGAGUGCUGGAAGACCGGGAGGAUCAGAGACGCCAGGGACCCGAGGAUCGGCAAGUGCGACGAGGACGACCUCGAGCUGGUGCUCAAGCUCGGGUUGCUAUGCUCGCACCCUGAUCCCCGGUGCCGGCCGAGCAUGAGGCAGGUGGUGCAGGUACUGGAAGGCGCCGCGCCGGUGCCGGAGACGCCGCCGGAAGAUCUAGGCAGCAGCGGCAGGACCUUCGGGUACUACGAGACGUUCGAUGAGUUCAUCAACAUGUUCCCGACGACGAUCGAGGUGGCGACCGUCACGCCGCGCCUUGGUCGCACUCCAGCGCCGAACACCAGCACCUGAUCUCCGGCGGAGUUCUGGCUCUGCCAUCAGCUCUCGUCAAUAAAUUACAAAAUUCUCUUGUAACUAAAUUCAAAUUUCUCUUACCAUUAAAUUGCUACAAAAUCGCUGUGAUGUGCUUAGGAUGGUUCAAAUUGGAAAGCAAAUAGUUACAAGAUUAGGUGUUGUAAUAAUCUUGUCUAAAGAAGUGAACAUAGGUUGUCAGACAGUUUUAGGAUGAUCAAAGGGUGGUUUUGCUUUCAUAAGUCCUAACACCUAAUUAACCUAAUCGUUGAGGUUUUGUACGUGUAAUUUUUUUUCUGCAAGUGAGUAAUCGUUGAGGUUUUGUAUGUGUAAUCUUUUUUGUAAGUGACCAUAUGAGAUACUAUAAUCUCCGAAAUGUUUUUCUACAUAUUCAUCAUUUUAGAUUUAUAUAUUUUUGAGAUAACUCAUCUUGUAAGUGAUAAGAACUAAAGAUCAUGUUACCACUCAACCAUCAAAAUCACAAAUAAUAAUCUUUUUUUUCCUUAUAUCCUCCCUUCGUUGACCGCAACAUUGACCUACGCAUCAUAGAACAAGCAAACCGGUUCAUGCAACCCAAAAUCCCCACAUUUAAAACUCUGUACCUGUAAUGCAGUGUGCCGUUGCAUCCUCCUCAGUCCCACACGACACGAGCAAGGCAUCAGCCAUCACUCCCGUUUGUCACAAACACAGCCAAAUCCGAUCGAUGUGAACGGCAUCGACCGUUCACCCAGCUAUUCUCUGUCGUUCAUACCUGGUCGCUCGGUUCCCCAGCGAAAUAACAUAGGCAGACCCCCCGCACAUAGCUCUGGCCCAGAGAAUGACUUGAGAUCCUGGCAUCUCUCGAGCGAGCAACUCAGACAUUCGAGUGAUUGACCAUCGAGCCAACACGUGGGGUGGUGCCGACCUGAACGCAUCCAUCAUCGAGUGCCUCUGCCUGCCCAACGCCAACGAACGCCGGCCCGGACCUCGCUCGACCUCGUCGUCAACAAGGCCGGCCGGUCCCGGAGUACGGCGGCCAUACAUCCGGCCUGUGGAAUGCUAAUAACAUGGGAUGGACCUGGCUGGAGAUAUCCAGCAAUGACCACACGGUGUGCAUCGUCCCAAGCUGCAGAGUCAGUCAGUCGUCGUCUUCUAUCACAGCAAACGCAGUACAGUAUUUAAGUAGUGACAGCUACCUGUUCUUGGGUCCCUCUCUGAAUGUUGUACAUGUAUCCGCUGAAUCUGCAUGCAAAUACAGACGGCAGAAGUAGGGACUGAUGACUUGAGGUCUAGACGUCUAAUUAAGCUGAUGUCGACCUCUGGGUACGUAUGCUAUUUACCAAUUUACCACCAUGUUGUUGAUCAAGAUCAGAUAACCACGGUGCUUGUUGCCAGCCUAGAAGGUGCGGUGUGAUGGACAGAGACGGCGGUCACUGCUUGCGAGUGUGGUGCAUGCUUUUGCAUUGCCUGGCCGUUCGUCUGCAAUCGAUAUGAUGUUGUUCAGCUGCCGCGUAAGCUAGGCAAGUCGAUCCACAACUUGGCCGGCAAUUUGCAGUUUCCUUGGCUACGUUAUGCCUCUGGUUAGUACAGUACUAGCUCCAAACUCCCAACUGAAUGCAUGCGAAUGCAAACCACACAGAAGUCUCGAGCUGAAGGGGCCAUUAGCUGGGUAUGUGACAGGGAAUGCGAAUUUGACUUUUGGAAUGCAUGUCGUCGUUUUCCACUGUGAGAAUGACACCUCUACUUGUGUCAAAUUCAGCAAAAACCUAAAGAAUGAUUUGCAAAUUUUAGAUCAAAAUUUUUUACGUCAUAUAUGAAUUGGAGUUUUGCAAAUUCAAAGGUAUCUUAAAGUGAGACACUACACGGCAAAAGCAAUGUGGUGCAGUGCUCCAUAUGAAUAUGCAACACACAUAUAUAUCCUCACUGACAUUUUGCGGAGCUGAAUUUCCAGCAUCUAAAACAAAACAAAAAGGAAUGGGAAAUCUAUAUGUGACUUGAGUAUUCCCUUCAAUAAUUUCUUUUCCGAUUUCAGCUACAUGCACAUAUGACAUCCCUGCUUCAUGUCCGGCAAGAUCAGGGUUCCAGAUUUGGGGAAUUGGAGGCUGCAUUAGAGGAUUUAGAGGGGAGGGGUGUGAAUGAAGGUUAGCCUAGCAGUGGAGGACCACGGUGGCCACAACGGUGAAGUAGCAUGUGACGGAGGAUGGGCACUGCUGGGGAUCGCCAAAGAACUAAACACCCUCGAGCGCCAUUUGUGGGCAUAGUUUUCCAAACGGGCCGCCCGGCCCUAGCCCGGCACUAACCCAUCCUGGCCCGGCACUAAUAGGCCCGGCACUAUUAGGCUCGAAGGGUUUUCGUGCUGGGCUGGGCUGGCACUGCGUGUCGAGGAGGCAGCCCAGGCUCGGCCCGACGACCUUUUUAUCAGGCCGGGCCAGCCCACAACACGACGGGCCAUGCCGUGCUAGUGCUCGGCCCGGCACUAGCAGCAGCGGCCGGCUCUAGUUGCCCUCGGAGGGCGGCGACGGUCGGCGGCCGCCCCCCCGCGUCGGCCCCUAGCGGCGGCGGCGGCGGUCGGUCCCCCGCGGACGGACGGCAGCGGCGGCUGGCCCCCCGCGUCGGCCUCGGGCGGCUGCGGCGGCCGGCCCCCCGCAUCGGCCUCGGGCGACGGCGGCUGGCCCCUUGCGGUGGGCAUGGCGGCCACCGUCCCCAAGCAAGCAGGAAGGUGGGACUGUGGGAGGACCCUGGGAGGCGGACGGGUGGAUGGUCAAAUGGGGGAAAAUUGAAAGGAUAAGUCGGCUUCUGCAUUUAUAUGGUAGUUAGAUCGGGCCACAUCGGGCCGGCCCAAAAAUCAUGCCGGGCUCGUGCUGUCCCAGCGUGCCGAGGAGGCGGCCCAGGCCCGGCACUAUCAUCGUGCCGGGCCAGCCCUGGCACUAUUCACUUCGUGCCGGGCCCGUGCUCGUGCCGUGCUUUUUAGUGUCGGGCCUCGGGCCACCCAACGGGCCUGGCCCAUUUGGAAAUCUUUGUUCGUGGGUAAAAACUCUCUAACCUCGCAAGUUCUUGGUCAAGGAAUAAAACUUGGUUAACCUCGCAAGUUCUUAUGGAAACUAUUCUGGUAGUAAAACUCAUACCCUCGCAUCUUCUUUGUUACUGGAGGGACUCGAAGCUGGCAACUGGUAACUAAUAACUAAACUCCAACUGAGCUAACCCUCGAGUGUUCAGAAUCAGUCCUGAACACCGAGCUUUCAUCUUUUUUACUCUUUACUCAGGAACGGAACCUGAAGGGAGAUUCCGUGAGGUUACAAGAUUCUCGGAGCAACACAACGAACCAGGCGUCACGAGGUUGGACAACUAUCUCGAGCCAACGGUGGAGACACGAGGCUGGAAGAUCGAUCUGGUGAAGGUGAAGUCCCGAGGUUGGAAGGACGGAGGCGUGAGAAACGUGACCAUAUUGAGGAAUUCAAUUUAUACACAUUACCCCAUGACCUUUAUGUAUGGCAUAUCCUAGAAAUGUAGUGGUUGAGGAAGGACAUUUUCGAAAUGUAAAGUGGCUCAUGUGUCACUAUAAUAGGGGAGCUCUACUCCAUUGUAAAGGAAAAUCGAUUGUUUUCUAGAACUUCCAGGUGUUAUCUCUUUUUAUUCACGAAUUUGUUUGGUAUCGAAUUUUCUUUGAGACCAACAGGCAAUGAGGAGGGUUAGGGUGGGCGCAACUCAUUUCAAUGGUGUAUGGUAGCAUAGUGAUGACAGAUCGAUCCGGUGGUGGGAUCCACCUGAAAUGAGAGAAGAAGGGCGGUAAGGGGCACCACUCAACGCAAGAGGAAGCUCCUCGGUGAGCACAUCGGGAGGAAGAAGGAACUACAAGAAGAAGCCCAAGGAAGAAGAUCUAGUAACUGUUGGAUUUCAAUCCAUGAACAUUCAGAUGUAUGGAAAAGAAAAGAAAAGAAAAGAAGCCCGUAAGCAGUAUAGCUGGCCUAAAAAGAGAUACCAUGCAUGGCUUCAAGGAUGGGUCCGGGAUGUGCACUGCUGGCGCAGAACCCAAACACCAAAACAAGCACACACUUGCCAAACGUCACUCUUCAACACUUGUCGUACAGUAGAUUUCUACCUCUCCCAUCCUUGUCGUGCUGUGAAGAUAUCACCCGCGAGCAGCCAAUCCGAGCGCUCCCCGCUCCCAUCCUGGCCCCUCCUCCGAUGCCGUCCACUUCCACGUCCCUCUCGCCCGGCACGGCGCCGGACCACCAGCUGAUCGAGGCAUCGGCGACGACGCGACCAACCCCUACCCGGGCACCAGUAACCGGGACAUGCCUUUAACACGCUGGGAUCCCACUUCGACAGAAAGAUGUAAGCAAAGCAAACGACGCCUCGUUUCGUUCCAUAUCAUGGAGGCGGCCAUUCUUGCCGUGCUGGUGGCCGUCCUGCUCCUCCUCGCCCGAGGCGGAUCGGCGGCGGCGGGGGCCGGCGCAGCCACCGAGUUCGUGUUCACCGCCGGCUUCGCGCGCCAGAACGUGACGACCAGCGGCGCGGCCGUGGUCACGGCCUCCGGCCUCCUGCAGCUCACCAACGAGACGAACGAGGUGUUCGGGCACGGCUUCUACUCGGCGCCGCUGCGCUUCAAGGACGCCUCCACGGGCGCGCCGCUCUCCUUCUCCACCACCUUCGUGUUCGCCAUCGUGCCGCGGUACCCGGACGCGCACGGCCACGGGAUCGCCUUCGCGCUCGCGCCGUCGCCGGCCGUGGCGGGAGCCGUGGCGGGGAAGAACCUCGGCCUGUUCAACACGUCGGAUAACACGGGGCAGGGGAGGAGCGGGAUCGUCGCCGUCGAGCUCGACACGGCGCGGGACGAUGAGUUCAGGGACAUCGACAAGAACCACGUCGGCAUCGACGUCAACAGCUUGGAGUCCGUGAACUCAACGCCGGCGGCGUACGUCGAUGUCGGCACCGGCAGGCUCGUCAACUUCAGCCUGGUCAGCGGAAACCUCCAGCAGGUGUGGGUCGAGUACGACGGCGCGAGCAUGCGCAUGGAGGUGACGGUGUCGCCGGCCGGCAUGCCCAGGCCGGCUGUCCCGCUCGUGUCGUACACCGUCAACCUCUCGUCGGCCGUGGCCGACGACACUUACGUCGGCUUCUCGGGAGCGAACGGUGCGGCCUCAAGCUCUCACUACGUUCUUGGCUGGAGUUUCCGCCUCGGCGGCGGCCGCGCGCCGGACCUCGACCUCUCCAAACUCCCGCCGCUCCCACCGUCAAGAUCCAAGAAGAUGAUGCCGCUGCUACUGAUCCUCACACUGUUCCUAGUUGCCGUCUUGGUACUACUCCUAGUGUCGGGGGCAGUCGUGGUGCUCGUCAGAAGGCGCCGCCGGAUCGCCGAGGAGGAGGAGGACUGGGAGAUCGAGUACGGCCCUCACCGGAUCCGCUACAAGGACCUGCACGCGGCGACCAGGGGCUUCCGCGACAUCAUCGGCGCCGGCGGCUUCGGCACCGUGUACCACGGCGUGCUCCGGCGGUCGGGCGCCGAGGUCGCCGUCAAGAAGGUGGCCCACGACUCGCGGCAGGGGCUGCGCGAGUUCGUCUCGGAGAUCGCGAGCAUGAGCCGGCUGCGCCACCGCAACCUGGUGCAGCUCCUCGGCUACUGCCGGCGACGGGGCGAGCUGAUGCUCGUCUACGACUACAUGGUCAACGGCAGCCUCGACAAGCACCUGUUCGACGCCGGCAAGCCGGCGGCGCUGAGCUGGGAACGGCGCGCCAAGAUCGUCCGCGACGUCGCCGCCGGGCUGCUGUACCUGCACGAGGGGUGGGAGCAGGUGGUGGUGCACCGCGACAUCAAGUCCGCCAACGUGCUCCUC
rnacentral:lncRNA from 1 species